GGCUACCAUGCAAGUCGAGCGGUAACAGGAAUUAGCUUGCUAAUUUGCUGACGAGCGGCGGACGGGUGAGUAAUGCCUAGGGAACUGCCCAAUCGAGGGGGAUAACAGUUGGAAACGACUGCUAAUACCGCAUACGCCCUACGGGGGAAAAGAGGGGACCUUCGGGCCUUCUGCGAUUGGAUGUACCUAGGUGGGAUUAGCUAGUUGGUGAGGUAAUGGCUCACCAAGGCGACGAUCCCUAGCUGUUCUGAGAGGAUGAUCAGCCACACUGGGACUGAGACACGGCCCAGACUCCUACGGGAGGCAGCAGUGGGGAAUAUUGCACAAUGGGCGCAAGCCUGAUGCAGCCAUGCCGCGUGUGUGAAGAANGCCUUCGGGUUGUAAAGCACUUUCAGCGAGGAGGAAAGCUUAANCGUUAAUAGCGUUUANGUGUGACGUUACUCNCAAAAAAAGGACCGGCUAACUUCUUGCCAGCAGCCGCGGUAAUAC
rnacentral:rRNA from 1 species